UGUUGAACGGAAAAUUCUGUUGAUGCAGUGGUGAUUGUGGAUGCGUACCCGGAAAGGCGACCUGUGUACGACUACCCAGCUCCUCGGCCGUCGUACGACUACGGGCCGACCUACGCCGAAUAUGUGGAGGUCCCUCUGAAGGUAAAAAAAAAAAAGCCCAAGAAGGCAAAGAAGCAAAAAGUUACCAUUGUCCAAGCAAGACCGGCGUAUGACUACUACGACUACGGAAAUUCCUAUAAUAACUACGAUGACUACGAAGUUGUGCCUAAAAUCAAGAAGACCAAACACGUCAAGAAGACCUACCGGCAAUACCGGGAGCCUGUCUACUACGAUGAGCCCAAGAAAGGUGAGCUAUGCGGCACGAAAACGUCAAUGGCGAUACCAAUGAGCC
rnacentral:lncRNA from 1 species